rnacentral:rRNA from 1 species
AUUGAACGCUGGCGGCAGGCUUAACACAUGCAAGUCGAGCGAGCGGCGGACGGGUGAGUAAUGUCUGGGAAACUGCCUGAUGGAGGGGGGUAACUACUGGAAACGGUAGCUAAUCCCGCAUACCCUCAGAUGUGCCCAGAUGGGAUUAGCUAGUAGGGGGGGUAAUGGCUCACCUAGACGACGAUCCCUAGCUGGUCUGAGAGGAUGACCUGGAAAACGGGAACUGUGAAUAGGGGACGGCGAGUAUGGGAGGCGGUCGGGGGGAAGAGUGAUCAAUGGGUGAAAGCCUGAUGAAGGGAUGCCGGGUGGGGUAGGAGGGACUUCAGGUUGUAAAACACUUUUAGCGAGGAGGGGUUACUCUUAGAAGAAGAACCGGCUAACGGCGUGCCAGCAGCCGCGGUAAUUC